CCAGACUCCUACGGGAGGCAGCAGUGGGGAAUAUUGCACAAUGGGGGAAACCCUGAUGCAGCGACGCCGCGUGAAGGAAGAAGUAUUUCGGUAUGUAAACUUCUAUCAGCAGGGAAGAGAAUGACGGUACCUGAGUAAGAAGCCCCGGCUAACUACGUGCCAGCAGCCGCGGUAAUACGUAGGGGGCAAGCGUUAUCCGGAAUUAUUGGGUGUAAAGGGUGCGUAGACGGAGAAACAAGUUGGUUGUGAAAUCCCUCGGCUCAACCGAGGAACUGCAACCAAAACUAUUUCCCUUGAGUGUCGGAGAGGAAAGUGGAAUUCCUAGUGUAGCGGUGAAAUGCGUAGAUAUUAGGAGGAACACCAGUGGCGAAGGCGACUUUCUGGACGAUAACUGACGUUGAGGCACGAAAGUGUGGGGAGCAAACAGGAUUAGAUACCCGCGUA
rnacentral:rRNA from 1 species